UACUAGAUGACUGAAAGUAAGUACUGGUCUCUUAAACCAUAUAAUAGUAAAGUAACAAUUACUUCUAGUAA
rnacentral:tRNA from 1 species